UACGAAGGGGGCUAGCGUUGUUCGGAAUUACUGGGCGUAAAGCGCGCGUAGGCGGUUUUGCAAGCCAGAGGUGAAAUGCCUGAGCUCAACUUAGGAAUUGCCUUUGGGACUGCGAGGCUUUGAGGACUGGAGAGGUGAGUGGAACUGCGAGUGUAGAGGUGAAAUUCGUAGAUAUUCGCAAGAACACCAGUGGCGAAGGCGGCUCACUGGCCCGAUACUGACGCUGAGGCACGAAAGCGUGGGGAGCAAACAGG
rnacentral:rRNA from 1 species